GAGAUUGAACGCUGGCGGCAGGCCUACCACACAUAAGUCGACGGAUGAAGGGAGCUUGCUCCUGGAUUCAGCGGCGGACGGGUGAGUAAUGCCUAGGAAUCUGCCUGGUAGUGGGGGAUAAUCCGGAAACGGGCGCUAAUACCCUGCAUACGUCCUGAGGGAGAAAGUGGGGGAUCUUCGGACCUCACGCUACAGAAUGAGCCUAGGUCGGAUUAGCUAGUUGGUGGGGUAAAGGCCUACCAAGGCGACGAUCCGUAACUAGGUCUGAGAGGAUGAUCAGUCACACUGGAACUGAGACACGGUCCAGACUCCUACGGGAGGCAGCAGUGGGGAAUAUUGGACAAUGGGCGAAAGCCUGAUCAGCCAUGCCGCGUGUCUGAAGAAGGUCUUCGGAUUGUAAAGCACUUUAAGUUGGGAGGAAGGGCAGUAAGUUAAUACCUUGCUGUUCCUUAAGACGUUACCAACAGAAUAAGCACACGGCUAACUUCGUGCCAGCAGCCGCGGUAAUACGAAGGGUGCAAGCGUUAAUCGGAAUUACUGGGCGUAAAGCGCGCGUAGGUGGUUCAGCAAGUUGGAUGUGAAAUCCCCGGCUCAACCUGGGAACUGCAUCCAAAACUACUGAAGCUAGAGUACGGUAGAGGGUGGUGGAAUUUCCUGUGUAGCGGUGAAAUGUAGAUAUAGGAAGGAACACCAGUGGCGAAGGCGACCACCUGGACUGAUACUGACACUGAGGUGCGAAAGCGUGGGAAGAGCAAACAGGAUUAGAUACCCUGGUAGUCCACGCCGUAAACGAUGUCGACUAGCCGUUGGGAUCCUUGAGAUCUUAGUGGCGCAGCUAACGCGAUAAGUCGACCGCCUGGGGAGUACGGCCGCAAGGUUAAAACUCAAAUGAAUUGACGGGGGCCCGCACAAGCGGUGGAGCAUGUGGUUUAAUUCGAAGCAACGCGAAGAACCUUACCUGCCUUGACAUGCUGAGAACUUUCCAGAGAUGGAUUGGUGCCUUCGGGAACUCAGACACAGGUGCUGCAUGCUGUCGUCAGCUCGUGUCGUGAGAUGUUGGGUUAAGUCCCGUAACGAGCGCAACCCUUGUCCUUAGUUACCAGCACCUCGGGUGGGCACUCUAAGGAGACUGCCGGUGACAAACCGGAGGAAGGUGGGGAUGACGUCAAGUUUCAUCAUGGCCCUUACG
rnacentral:rRNA from 1 species